UGCAGGGACUUUGGCAGGGGCUGGCGUUAAUCUGGUCAGAACAGAAAUGUAGCAGCCAUAGCGAUCAUUCCCUGGGUUUGGUUUUUUUUUGCUUG
rnacentral:SRP_RNA from 1 species